CCUACGGGUGGCAGCAGUAGAGAAUCAUUCACAAUGGGGGAAACCCUGAUGGUGCGACGCCGCGUGGGGGAAUGAAGGUCUUGGGUUUUUAAACCCCUGUCAUGUGGGAGCAAAUUAAAAAGAUAGCACCACAAGAUGAAGAGACGGCUAACUCUGUGACAGCAGCCGCGGUAAUACGGAGGGCUCAAGCGUUGUUCGGAAUCACUGGGCGUAUAGGGUGCGUAGGCUGUUUAGUAAGUCGUGUGUGAAAGGCGCGGGCUCAACCUGCGGACGGCACAGGAUACUGGGAAACUAGAGUGAGGGAGAGGGAAGCGGAAUUCUCGGUGUAGCAGUGAAAUGCGUAGAUAUCGGGAGGAACACUCGUGGCGAAGGCGGGUUCCUGGACAGUAACUGACGCUGAGGGACGAAGGCCAGGGGAGCAAAAGGGAUUAGAUACCCUAGUAGUC
rnacentral:rRNA from 1 species